rnacentral:rRNA from 1 species
UACGGAGGGUGCAAGCGUUAUCCGGAUUCACUGGGUUUAAAGGGUGCGUAGGUGGGCAGGUAAGUCAGUGGUGAAAUCUCCGGGCUUAACCCGGAAACUGCCAUUGAUACUAUCUGUCUUGAAUACCGUGGAGGUGAGCGGAAUAUGUCAUGUAGCGGUGAAAUGCUUAGAUAUGACAUAGAACACCAAUUGCGAAGGCAGCUCACUACGCGAAUAUUGACACUGAGGCACGAAAAGCGUGGGGAUCAAACAGG